UACGUAGGGUGCAAGCGUUAAUCGGAAUUACUGGGCGUAAAGGGUGCGUAGGCGGCGCGGUAAGUCGGGUGUGAAAUCUCGGAGCUUAACUCCGAAACUGCAUUCGAUACUGCCGUGCUUGAGGACUGGAGAGGAGACUGGAAUUUACGGUGUAGCGGUGAAAUGCGUAGAUAUCUGGAGGAAUACCGGUGGCGAAGGCGGCAUCCUGGACCGGCAUUGACGCUGAGGAGCGAAAGCCAGGGGAGCAAAACGGGG
rnacentral:rRNA from 1 species